rnacentral:rRNA from 1 species
GACGAACGCUGGCGGCGUGCUUAACACAUGCAAGUCGAACGGAAAGGCCCUGCUUUUGUGGGGUGCUCGAGUGGCGAACGGGUGAGUAACACGUGAGUAACCUGCCCUUGACUUUGGGAUAACUUCAGGAAACUGGGGCUAAUACCGGAUAGGAGCUCCUGCUGCAUGGUGGGGGUUGGAAAGUUUCGGCGGUUGGGGAUGGACUCGCGGCUUAUCAGCUUGUUGGUGGGGUAGUGGCUUACCAAGGCUUUGACGGGUAGCCGGCCUGAGAGGGUGACCGGCCACAUUGGGACUGAGAUACGGCCCAGACUCCUACGGGAGGCAGCAGUGGGGAAUAUUGCAAAAUGGGCGGAAGCCUGAUGCAGCAACGCCGCGUGCGGGAUGACGGCCUUCGGGUUGUAAACCGCUUUCGCCUGUGACGAAGCGUGAGUGAAGGUAAUGGGUAAAGAAGCACCGGCUAACUACGUG